CGCGGGGUAGAGCAGUCCGGUAGCUCGUGAGGCUCAUAACCUCAAGGUCGCAGGUUCGAAUCCUGCCCCCGCAA
rnacentral:tRNA from 1 species